rnacentral:rRNA from 1 species
GGACACAUGCUCAUCUUUCACCGACUGUGACUUUAAUAGUGGUUUCAUGCGAAACUGCUAUACUAUGAGGUAUUAAUCCAAAUUUCUCUGGGCUAUCCCUCUGUGAAAGGUAGAUUGCAUACGCGUUACGCACCCGUGCGCCGGUCUCUAGGUCCGAAAACCUAUACCCCUCGACUGCAUGUGUAAGCCCCUGCCGCUAGCGUACACC